rnacentral:rRNA from 1 species
UCCCACCCUGUGAGGGGGUAAGGCUCCCGGUAGACGACCGGGUUGAUAGGCCGGGUGUGGAAGCACGGUAACGUGUGGAGCUGACCGGUACUAAUAGGCCGAGGACUUGACCACAA